UAACGCGUGGGAAUCUGCCUAUCAGUGGGGAAUAACGGCGGGAAACUGUCGCUAAUACCGCAUACGCCCUUAGGGGGAAAGAUUUAUCGCUGAUAGAUGAGCCCGCGUACGAUUAGCUAGUUGGUGAGGUAAUGGCUCACCAAGGCUACGAUCGUUAGCUGGUCUGAGAGGAUGAUCAGCCACACUGGGACUGAGACACGGCCCAGACUCCUACGGGAGGCAGCAGUGGGGAAUAUUGGACAAUGGGCGAAAGCCUGAUCCAGCAAUGCCGCUUGAGUGAUGAAGGCCUUAGGGUUGU
rnacentral:rRNA from 1 species